AGUGAACGCUGGCGGUAGGCCUAACACAUGCAAGUCGAACGGCAGCACAGUAAGAGCUUGCUCUUACGGGUGGCGAGUGGCGGACGGGUGAGGAAUACAUCGGAAUCUACUUUUUCGUGGGGGAUAACGUAGGGAAACUUACGCUAAUACCGCAUACGACCUACGGGUGAAAGCAGGGGAUCUUCGGACCUUGCGCGAUUGAAUGAGCCGAUGUCGGAUUAGCUAGUUGGCGGGGUAAAGGCCCACCAAGGCGACGAUCCGUAGCUGGUCUAAGAGGAUGAUCAGCCACACUGGAACUGAGACACGGUCCAGACUCCUACGGGAGGCAGCAGUGGGGAAUAUUGGACAAAGGGCGCAAGCCUGAUCCAGCCAUACCGCGUGGGUGAAGAAGGCCUUCGGGUUGUAAAGCCCUUUUGUUGGGAAAGAAAAGCAGCAGGUUAAUACCCCGCUGUUCUGACGGUACGCAAAGAAUAAGCACCGGCUAACUUCGUG
rnacentral:rRNA from 1 species